UAGCGGUGUUAGGGCACUAAGAACUUUGAUUUCUUAAGAGAGGUUCAAUUCCUCCUGA
rnacentral:tRNA from 1 species